UUGGUUCUGGCAUCGAUGAAGAACGCAGCAAAAUGCGAUAAGUAACGUGAAUUGCAGAAUUCAGUGAAUCAUCGAAUCUUUGAACGCACAUUGCGCCCGCCAGUAUUCUGGCGGGCAUGCCUGUUCGAGCGUCAUUUCAACCCUCAAGCACAGCUUGG
rnacentral:rRNA from 1 species